rnacentral:rRNA from 1 species
GAUCAUGGCUCAGGAUGAACGCUAGCGACAGGCUUAACACAUGCAAGUCGAGGGGCAGCACAGGUAGCAAUACCGGGUGGCGACCGGCGCACGGGUGAGUAACGCGUAUGCAACUUGCCUAUCAGAGGGGGGAUAACCCGGCGAAAGUCGGACUAAUACCGCAUGAAGCAGGGGCCCCGCAUGGGGAUAUUUGCUAAAGAUUUAUCGCUGAUAGAUAGGCAUGCGUUCCAUUAGG